GUGUCACGCCGGAUCCUCCCCUUUUGCGGUUGCUAAAGACAUUUCAGCCUGUCUUUUCAGUGUGUGUCCCUGUUGGAUGCUGCUUUGGAUCUGUUUAUUGCCCUCCCUGCAGUUUAACAGCAGGUUAUUUGAAGGCUGCGUAUCCUGAGCGGUGAAUUGAUUCUCAGGAACUUAUCUAUCCGCGUUUGGAUCCUCCUUCUCUCCUUCUCUCCUUUUUCGUCCUGGGUGAUUAUUGCUGCGAUUCGACUUUUCCCUCGCUGCGUGCCGAGUGAACAACCUCGGCUUACAACUAUUUAAAAGGGAAUUCUGCUGCUGCCAUUUGGCUUCUGUGAUUUGUUUUAACCGGUAUUGUCUGGUCUACUGUGGGGUCGAGCAACGUGCAAGUAUCGGGGCUGGCUUGAAGACGACGUGGCCGCUCCUUUUGGGAGCUGGGGUCCCACGGGUGAAAGGUCUUUGGUGGUGCUAUUUCUACAUUUGCUGUACGACACUUUUGGCGUGUAUGAGUGGGUGUUUUGAGUUCACGGUGAGGAGCUGGGGUCCCACGGGUAAAAGGUCUUUGGUGGUGCUAUUUCUACAUUUGCUGUACGACACUUUUGACGUGUAUGAGUGGGUGUUUUGAGUUCACGGUGAGGUGUG